rnacentral:rRNA from 1 species
UACGUAGGUGGCAAGCGUUGUCCGGAUUUACUGGGCGUAAAGAGCGCGCAGGCGGUCGGAUAAGUCGAAUGUGAAAGCCCCUGGCUCAACCAGGGAGGGUCAUUCGAUACUGUUCGACUCGAAGGCAGGAGAGGGAAGCGGAAUUCCCGGUGUAGUGGUGAAAUGCGUAGAUAUCGGGAGGAACACCAGUGGCGAAGGCGGCUUUCUGGCCUGUUCUUGACGCUGAGGCGCGAAAGCUAGGGUAGCAAACGGG